rnacentral:sRNA from 1 species
GAGAUACUCUUUUGGAAGAGAAUUAGAUGAGUGACUCUUUGAAAAUAAAUAAGGAUUUUAGAGGAGGGGUAGUGAUUAUAGAAAUCAGGUGCUUUCCCUCUUAUCCAUUAUAAACGAGGGGCCUCUUUAUAGAAAUGGAACUUUAAAAGGAUUCAGGACUUUAUAUUGCAACAGAGCACCUUAACAAAUAUUUUCUUACUUGAUGCUCACAGUAACUAUAUGAACUUGGUAUAGUGGAUGUCCCUGCGGGUCAGAAAAAUGAAAUUACCUUUCCACUAUCAAAGCUAGACAGGGAAACAGCUAGAACUUCAACUCCGAGUCUUCCAAGUCUCAUGCACUUUCAGAUGUUUCUUUCUUUUUUUCUUUGCUAUAAUCAGGAGAUAAAAAUGUAAAGGAGAGUAGAGAAAUAUUUUAAAAUGAAGAAAUCCAUUACACUUCCCAUGUAGUUUGGUGAUACCCUCAUAGAUUUUCUUGUUCCACGCAAAAAAGUUAGUGAAUAGAACUUCCCGGUCUUUAGCUGGUUAACACGUCCACCUCAGACACUGAGUGCCACAGGCCUUCACUUAUGAACAUCAUUUGGCAUUUCUGACUCUUCUGAGUUCUGGCUCAGCAGGACCUCACCACGGAAUGUGCUACUGCAAACAACCCCACAGCCAUCACGCCUGACGAGUACUUCAAUGAAGAGUUUGAUCUGAAAGACAGGGACAUUGGAAGGCCGAAAGAGCUGACGAUUAGAACACAGAAGUUUAAAGCAAUGUUGUGGAUGUGUGAAGAGUUUCCCCUCUCUCUGGUGGAGCAGGUCAUUCCCAUCAUUGACCUAAUGGCUCGAACGAGUGCUCAUUUUGCAAGACUGAGAGAUUUCAUCAAAUUGGAAUUCCCACCUGGAUUUCCUGUCAAAAUAGAAAUUCCCUUGUUUCAUGUCUUAAAUGCACGGAUUACAUUUGGAAAUGUUAAUGGCUGUAGCACUGCUGAAGAAUCUGUAUCUCAAAAUGUGGAAGGGACCCAGGCUGAUUCAGCUUCCCACAUCACAAACUUUGAGGUUGAUCAAUCUGUGUUUGAAAUUCCCGAAUCUUACUAUGUUCAAGACAAUGGCAGAAAUGUGCAUUUGCAAGAUGAAGAUUAUGAGAUAAUGCAGUUUGCCAUCCAGCAAAGUCUGCUGGAGUCCAGCAGGAGCCAGGAACUUUCAGGACCAGCUUCGAAUGGAGGGAUCAGCCAGACGAACACCUAUGACGCCCAGUAUGAGAGGGCCAUCCAGGAGAGCCUCCUCACCAGCACAGAAGGCCUGUGCCCCAGCGCCCUGAGCGAGACAAGCCGUUUUGAUAAUGACUUGCAGCUAGCCAUGGAGCUCUCUGCCAAAGAGCUGGAGGAAUGGGAGCUCCGGCUCCAGGAGGAAGAGGCUGAGCUCCAGCAAGUCUUACAGCUGUCACUCACUGACAAAUAGACCUUUCAGCCUGUGAGCCUCUGCACAAAGCAGAGGCUGUGGGCUGUCACAGAUGCUGUGUCAACCAGGGCCCCAGGGCUGAGGGCCUGCACCUUGCGUGCGUGCGGCAGGCAACAACUGCCCCUUCUUUAUGCAGAGGUGCAGAACUAGGGACUCCUGGGCCCAUCCAGGCCGCUCCCUGGGGUGGAGAAGGGACCAGGGAUUGCAGGCCCCAUCUCCAGGCUAAGGGGAGGAGAGCAUCUUCACUUUCCAUUAGCUGUAUUGGCUUGCAGGUCACAUUUUUACUACCAGCUUUAGACAAAACCCCAAUCCCCGCAGGUUUGUAGAUAAAUUUUUAUCAAGGAGUGAUAACAAGACAAGUUAUUGCAGAGUCAGGGUGCUUUUAUAUAUGAGAGCAGCAGCCGCCUUCGUGAAGUGUGGUCUAUGAGAAUUGGAGACACUUCUUUACUGUUCACCAAAGAAAUGGGUAAUCUGUGCUGAUCUCCUUAUUUUUACCUUUUUACAGGGUUUCUAGGACAUUGUCAUUAUUCUUCUCCAUCUCUAUCUGAUUCCAUUCCUUCCACACCCAGCUAAAGUUAGAGGAGAUACAUAUAGAAUCUAUUUUAGAUUAUUGUUAACUAUUUGCAUCAAAUUAAGAUACACAAAUGGCCAUGGAUGUUGCCUUAGCCUUAAACAUUACUAAUAGUUUCACAUCACCUCACUGCAUGCAUCGAAGGAUCUGAUUUGAAUUUGUAAAGGCAAUUCUUUUGAGAGCAGGAUUCUCCAGGCUAAAUCAAAGGCAGCUAAUCCUGUCCCUGAAAGAGCAGCUAGGGGAACCUGAGGCUUGUUCUUGAAGUGGGCAAGCUGGCCAAAAUAUUGGAACACACAGAACCAAACCAGGUGUGUUCUACAACUGCACGAGUGAAGGAUUUCCACGUAGACACCUAGGAAGAGCCCACUGCGUGCCCUAGACUCACUCCAGAGGAAGGAUUGAUUUGCAACCAGAAAGGAGCUGAAAACCACGGAGCUCCAUGGCUCUUCAUUCAAAAGGGAAAAUAAUGAUUUCACGUUGCUUUUUAGAGUUCAAAUCAACAUCUUUCUGGAUAAAUCUAUUUUUUAACAAUAUUUUUAUUAUUUGUAAAAGAUAUAAAAACAACUCCCAUCAGUAGCAAUACAAGGUUAUACAUUUUAACCAGAUUUUCUCAGGCCUUUUUUGGAUACCUUUAGUAGUUAACUCUCUUUUGUCAGACCCUCUUGUAAAUAACCAUCGCACAACAUACAGAACCCUGGGGAAUACAGCCAAGGGCACUGCUCACUGUGGCCCGUGUAUUCAUUCCCACAGGCUGCACUGAAAUAACCUGGUAAACAAUACCCUCCUCCAUUUUGCAUCUAUUUCUUCUGUUGUGCUUCUUUGGGGAUAGGAAGAGAAACAUAACUACUGUUCCAGGUAACGUCUGUAUCAUACAGUUAGUGUUGCCAGUGAAACGUUCCCAGAUACAAAGAAUUGUGCUUUUAAUUAGAUUUCACCAUCUGCUUUUUUUUUUUUUUUUUUUUUUUGUCAUUGUCUGACCAAAAUUCCUUCUGCACACGAGGCCAGUAUAGGCAACGUCACAUUUGUUUCAAAUAUGCAAUGUGGCAUUUUGUUUACUUUGCAUUUACCGUGAGCAAAGAUACUUCUUGGAAUGGCUGCAGUGAGGCCGUGUCAUUGGCUCACAAAGGUGACUCAUAGGUAAUUUCUGUGUUUGCAUUCCAUUGCUCUGCUCCCUAAGGUCCUUGACUUUCUCCCCAGGAAUUCACUUAAAAAGGGACUGAGCAUUGUGUCAACCUGUUGCAGCGUUUUUCAUAUAUGUGUUCACUCUAAAAAUGCAAAUAAAGACUGCUUCCUUAGAGGGUGCGCAUAC